rnacentral:rRNA from 1 species
UACGUAGGAUGCAAGCGUUGUCCGGAAUUAUUGGGCGUAAAGAGCGCGCAGGCGGUAUGACAAGUCAGAUGUGAAAGAGGCAGGCUUAACCGGCAAGGGUCAUUUGAAACUGUCAGACUAGAGUGCAGCAGAGGAUAGUGGAAUUCCCGGUGUAGUGGUGAAAUGCGUAGAUAUCGGGAGGAACACCAGUGGCGAAGGCGACUAUCUGGGCUGCAACUGACGCUGAGGCGCGAAGGCUAGGGUAGCAAACAGG